GACGAACGCUGGCGGCGUGCUUAACACAUGCAAGUCGAACGGAAAGGCCCUGCUUUUGUGGGGUGCUCGAGUGGCGAACGGGUGAGUAACACGUGAGUAACCUGCCCUUGACUUUGGGAUAACUUCAGGAAACUGGGGCUAAUACCGGAUAGGAGCUCCUGCUGCAUGGUGGGGGUUGGAUAGUUUCGGCGGUUGGGGAUGGACUCGCGGCUUAUCAGCUUGUUGGUGGGGUAGUGGCUUACCAAGGCUUUGACGGGUAGCCGGCCUGGGAGGGUGACCGGCAACAUUGGGACUGAGAUAGGGCCCAGACUCCUACGGGAGGCAGCAGGGGGGAAUAUUGCACAAUGGGCGGAAGCCUGAGGCAGCAACGCCGCGUGCGGGAUGACGGCCUUCGGGUUGUAAACCGCUUUCGCCUGUGACGAAGCGUGAGUGACGGUAAUGGGUAAAGAAGCACCGGCUAACUACGUG
rnacentral:rRNA from 1 species